GGACUGAACUCUGUCCUUCUAUGGGUCAGCUACUUGGCUUUCUUCCAGCCCCUCUUCCAAAGCCUCACACAUCCGGGAGCUGAAUUGUGGCUCUCUGGUUGUCCUUUCCAGAACACUUCCACCUGCACCCGGGAACGCUGCUGCACCUGAGAGGCUGGAGGCUCUGAAAUACCAACGGAUAAAGAAGCCCAAAAAGUCAUCCAAGGGCUCUUCGAAGUCAAAGAAACGAUCCGACGAUUCUGCCUCCCAGACUCAGCAGCUUCCCAACUCUCAGGUUCUGUGGCCCGAUGAAGCUGUCUGCCUCCGAAAGAAGAAGAGACAUUCUCGU
rnacentral:sRNA from 1 species